GGAGAGGUGCCCGAGCGGUUGAAGGGGCACGCCUGGAAAGCGUGUGUACGGGUAACCGUACCCAGGGUUCAAAUCCCUGCCUCUCCG
rnacentral:tRNA from 1 species